AKCGCAUGCUAUACAUGCAGUCGAGCGAACAGAUGAAGUGCUUGCCUUCUGACGUUAGCGGCGAACGGGUGAGUAACACGUAWGGAUCUACCUAUAAGCGGGGGAUAACAUUCGGAAACGGGUGCUAAUACCGCAUAAUAUCUUCUUCCGCAUGGAAGARAUUGAAAGACGGCUCUGCUGUCMCUUAUAGAUGACCUUGCGGUGCRUUAGUUAGUUGSUGGGGUAMYGGCCUACCAAGACGAUGAUGCAUAGCCGACCUGAGAGGGUGAUCGGCCACAUUGGGACUGAGACACGGCCCAAACUCCUACGGGAGGYAGCAGUAGGGAAUCUUCCGCAAUGSGCGAAAGCCUGACGGAGCAAUGCCGCGUGAGUGAAGAAGGCCUUCGGGUCGUAAAACUCUGUUAUAAGAGAAGAACAAAUUGUAGAGUAACUGCUACAGUCUUGACGGUMUCUUAUCAGAAAGCCACGGCUAACUACGUGCCASCAGCCGCGGUAAUACGUAGGUGGCAAGCGUUGUCCGGAUUUAUUGGGCGUAAAGGGAGCGCAGGUGGUUUCUUAAGUCUGAUGUGAAAGCCCACGGCUUAACCGUGGAGGGUCAUUGGAAACUGGGAAACUUGAGUACRGAAGAGGAAUGUGGAA
rnacentral:rRNA from 1 species